rnacentral:tRNA from 2 species
GGGCAGUUGGCAGAGUGGUCGAAUGCACUAGUCUUGAAAACUAGCGAGGGUGCAAGCCCUCCAAGGGUUCGAAUCCCUUACUGCCCGCCA